rnacentral:lncRNA from 1 species
UCGGGUAAUCAACAUGUAAUAUUGUUAUUUUGUUUUUCUGGUUUUCUGCAAAAUUAAAAGUUCAUACUUCAUUGUAGUAUUGUUGUUUCUUGUGCAUAUAUCAUUAGUUCUAUAAUCAACAACAAUCUUUAUUUUGGUUCACUUUUCUUUUCUGUAUACUUGAAAAGUAUAAACACAGGUAGUGUGUGUCUUUCAUCAACAGUUACAAUAAUGAACUUACAGAAAUUAUUGUUUUGGCUCAUUUUGAUAUCUGAGGUUCAAUCAAUGAUGUGGAAGAUUGGGUAAUGUCUUCUUUUCUAUUUUAUCCACCAU